rnacentral:lncRNA from 1 species
AUGAAGAAAAACAAGAAAUCUGGUUCAAAGGACAAGCAAGAGGCUGGUUCUAGCGGGUCCAAGGACCCGGGCAAGCAAGGAUGAUGACAUUGCUUGGUGGGUUGAUUCAGGUGCAACAAGUCAUGUGUGCAAGGAUCUUCGUUGGUUUAAAGACUUUCAACCAAUCGAAGACGGGUCUAUCAUAAAGAUGGGGAAUGUUGCAACUGAACCAAUCAAGGGAAUAGGAACUGUUAAUCUUGUGUUUACUUCUGGGAAAACUUUACUUUUGAACAAUGUUUUGUAUGCGCCCGGGAUUCGAAAGAAUCUGUUAAGUGGCAUUGUGUUGAAUAAUUGUGGGUACAAACAAGUAUUGGAAAGUGACAAGUAUAUCUUGUCAAGACAUGGUACCUUUGUUGGUUUCGGUUAUCUAUGUAAUGGUAUGUUUAUGUUGAAUGUUGAUGUCUCGUUCAUGAAUGAAUCUGUUUGUGUUGCUUCAACUAGUAAUGUUAAUGAUAUACCUUCAACUAGUAAUGCAAAUUGUAUAGCUUCAACUAGUAGUAGAAACAACUUGACUGAAUCGGAAUUAUGGCAUGCUAGACUAGGACAUG